UACGUAGGGUGCGAGCGUUAAUCGGAAUUACUGGGCGUAAAGGGUGCGCAGGCGGCGUCGCAAGUCAGGCGUGAAAUCCCCGGGCUUAACCUGGGAACUGCACUUGAAACUACGAUGCUGGAGUAUGGCAGAGGGAGGUGGAAUUCCACGUGUAGCGGUGAAAUGCGUAGAGAUGUGGAGGAACACCGAUGGCGAAGGCAGCCUCCUGGGCCAAUACUGACGCUCAUGCACGAAAGCGUGGGAGCAACAGG
rnacentral:rRNA from 1 species